AAUUCUCAACCCCCCUAUUUUGUAAUGAGAUAGGUUGUGGGCUUGGAUUAUGGCUGCCUGUCGGUUCGUCACGAGUCGGCUCAGCUGAAAUACACGUGCAUCCCAGUUGAAACAGCGACGGCUUGACUCGGCGUAAUAACAUAUUUCGCUGAGGACGUCCACUGUACGUUUCAAGCAGUGGGGCUUCUAAUGCACAUCCAUCUUAAGC
rnacentral:misc_RNA from 1 species